rnacentral:rRNA from 1 species
UCGAGGAUCUUCGGCAAUGGGCGCAAGCCUGACCGAGCGACGCCGCGUGCGCGAUGAAGGCCUUCGGGUUGUAAAGCGCUGUCGAGGGGGAGGAAAGCCCGCAAGGGUCUGACCUAUCCCUGGAGGAAGCACGGGCUAAGUUCGUGCCAGCAGCCGCGGUAAGACGAACCGUGCAAACGUUGUUCGGAAUCACUGGGCUUAAAGGGCGCGUAGGCGGGUUCCCAAGUCGGUGGUGAAAUCUUUCAGCUCAACUGGAAAAGUGCCGCCGAUACUGGGAGUCUUGAGGGAGGUAGGGGUCGGGGGAACUGGUGGUGGAGCGGUGAAAUGCGUAGAUAUCACUAGGAACGCCGGUGGCGAAAGCGCCCGACUGGACCUCUUCUGACGCUGAGGCGCGAAAGCCAGGGGAGCAAACGGGAUUAGAUACCCCCGUAGUCC